CAGCAGCCACGGGAAUACGGAGGGAGCUAGCGUUGUUCGGAAUUACUGGGCGUAAAGCGCACGUAGGCGGCUUUGUAAGUCAGAGGUGAAAGCCUGGAGCUCAACUCCAGAACUGCCUUUGAGACUGCAUCGCUUGAAUCCAGGAGAGGUGAGUGGAAUUCCGAGUGUAGAGGUGAAAUUCGUAGAUAUUCGGAAGAACACCAGUGGCGAAGGCGGCUCACUGGACUGGUAUUGACGCUGAGGUGCGAAAGCGUGGGGAGCAAACAGGAUUAGAUACCCCUGUAGUCCCUGUCUCUUAUAC
rnacentral:rRNA from 1 species